rnacentral:rRNA from 1 species
UACGUAGGGUGCAAGCGUUAAUCGGAAUUACUGGGCGUAAAGGGCGCGUAGGCGGCCAUGCGUGUCUUCCGUGAAAUCCCUCGGCUUAACUGAGGACGUGCGGAAGAAACUGCAAGGCUCGAGUCCGGGAGAGGGGGGUGGAAUUCCCAGUGUAGCGGUGAAAUGCGUAGAUAUUGGGAGGAACACCGGUGGCGAAGGCGGCCCCCUGGACCGGUACUGACGCGUG